GACGAACGCUGGCGGCGUGCUUAACACAUGCAAGUCGAACGGAAAGGCCCUGCUUCUGUGGGGUGCUCGAGUGGCGAACGGGUGAGUAACACGUGAGUAACCUGCCCUUGACUUUGGGAUAACUUCAGGAAACUGGGGCUAAUACCGGAUAGGAGCUCCUGCUGCAUGGUGGGGGUUGGAAAGUUUCGGCGGUUGGGGAUGGACUCGCGGCUUGUCAGCUUGUUGGUGGGGUAGUGGCUUACCCAGGCUUUGACGGGUAGCCGGCCUGAGAGGGUGACCGGCCACAUUGGGACUGAGAUACGGCCCAGACUCCUACGGGAGGCAGCAGUGGGGAAUAGUGCACAGUGGGCGGAAGGCUGAUGCAGCAACGCCGCGUGCGGGAUGACGGCCUUCGGGUUGUAAACCGCUUUCGCCUGGGACGAAGCGUGAGUGACGGUAAUGGGUAAAGAAGCACCGGCUAACUACGUG
rnacentral:rRNA from 1 species